rnacentral:rRNA from 1 species
CUCAUGACGAACGCUGGCGGCGUGCCUAAUACAUGCAAGUCGAGCGUGCGGAACUAACAGAUUUACUUCGGUAAUGACGUUAGGAAAGCGAGCGGCGGAUGGGUGAGUAACACGUGGGGAACCUGCCCCAUAGUCUGGGAUACCACUUGGAAACAGGUGCUAAUACCGGAUAAGAAAGCAGAUCGCAUGAUCAGCUUUUAAAAGGCGGCGUAAGCUGUCGCUAUGGGGUGGCCCCGCGGUGCAUUAGCUAGUUGGUAAGGUAAAGGCUUACCAAGGCGAUGAUGCAUAGCCGAGUUGAGAGACUGAUCGGCCACAUUGGGACUGAGACACGGCCCAAACUCCUACGGGAGGCAGCAGUAGGGAAUCUUCCACAAUGGACGCAAGUCUGAUGGAGCAACGCCGCGUGAGUGAAGAAGGUUUUCGGAUCGUAAAGCUCUGUUGUUGGUGAAGAAGGAUAGAGGUAGUAACUGGCCUUUAUUUGACGGUAAUCAACCAGAAAGUCACGGCUAACUACGUGCCAGCAGCCGCGGUAAUACGUAGGUGGCAAGCGUUGUCCGGAUUUAUUGGGCGUAAAGCGAGCGCAGGCGGAAGAAUAAGUCUGAUGUGAAAGCCCUCGGCUUAACCGAGGAACUGCAUCGGAAACUGUUUUUCUUGAGUGCAGAAGAGGAGAGUGGAACUCCAUGUGUAGCGGUGGAAUGCGUAGAUAUAUGGAAGAACACCAGUGGCGAAGGCGGCUCUCUGGUCUGCAACUGACGCUGAGGCUCGAAAGCAUGGGUAGCGAACAGGAUUAGAUACCCUGGUAGUCCAUGCCGUAAACGAUGAGUGCUAAGUGUUGGGAGGUUUCCGCCUCUCAGUGCUGCAGCUAACGCAUUAAGCACUCCGCCUGGGGAGUACGACCGCAAGGUUGAAACUCAAAGGAAUUGACGGGGGCCCGCACAAGCGGUGGAGCAUGUGGUUUAAUUCGAAGCAACGCGAAGAACCUUACCAGGUCUUGACAUCUAGUGUCAUUUGUAGAGAUACAAAGUUCCCUUCGGGGACGCUAAGACAGGUGGUGCAUGGCUGUCGUCAGCUCGUGUCGUGAGAUGUUGGGUUAAGUCCCGCAACGAGCGCAACCCUUGUUAUUAGUUGCCAGCAUUAAGUUGGGCACUCUAAUGAGACUGCCGGUGACAAACCGGAGGAAGGUGGGGAUGACGUCAAGUCAUCAUGCCCCUUAUGACCUGGGCUACACACGUGCUACAAUGGGCAGUACAACGAGAAGCGAGCCUGCGAAGGCAAGCGAAUCUCUGAAAGCUGUUCUCAGUUCGGACUGCAGUCUGCAACUCGACUGCACGAAGCUGGAAUCGCUAGUAAUCGCGGAUCAGCACGCCGCGGUGAAUACGUUCCCGGGCCUUGUACACACCGCCCGUCACACCAUGGGAGUCUGCAAUGCCCAAAGCCGGUGGCCUAACCUUCGGGAAGGAGCCGUCUAAGGCAGGGCAGAUGA